CUGGAAGAAAGUUGCCACCAUUCAAACAAGCCACGACGGUGAGAUGUCAUAUAAUCGGCUUAUAUUCUUCGACGGUCAUGGAAGAAUCGAGGAAGAAGAUGAGUCGACUAUGCUUGCUCAACGCCUCAAGGAGUUGCACUUGCAAGUGAGACCCGAAGGGUAUUGCUCCCAGGGACGUUCAUUUGUGGUUCUCAUUUAAGUUUUCCUUCCGUGGGAAACUCGCAUAAAUUUGUGGAUAAAUUGUGUUGAUACGGUCUAUGGUGUUAGGCUCGUUGACAAGAACAUCAGUCCUAUCGAAUGGCCACCUGUACCAACAGUCCGAGUAGAUCUUGAUAGGGGCGAUGAAGAUUUCGACGAGAACAACUGGUGGCAUA
rnacentral:lncRNA from 1 species